UGGUAAUUGGCUGGCCGUUGUACAUUAUCUGAAAAGACAAGACAGUAGACUCUCAGACAUUUUUUAAAAGACUGAUAAAAAGCCUCCCCCCUCCCCUCCCUGCAGAUCGGUGUGAAACAAUGAUUCGAUUACAAAAGAAACUGAACGGACCCAGCAUUCUGAAGGCCAAAGCCUAGAAUAUCCGUGAAGAAACAGCCUUGUGACCCCCUUCCCCACCUUCCCAGCAGAGUCAAACCCCAAGACGGGGCCCAUGGUGCGCCCACCCCCGCAUCCCUCAAGAUGCCCAAUGCCGUGUCCGGAUACCAGCCUAGCUAGUCUUCACUGAAGGCGUGGGCAAGAAACAGAACGGUUCAAAUUCAGGAAAUAAGACCGCCAAGGCCCCGAGGGACUCAGCGUGGGCUCUGGAAGCACGUGUCAGCCGGGACUUAGAAACCGUGCCACGGCGCCCCUCAGUCUGGGAGAGCCCUUGCCAUCUAGCCUGCGCCCUGGGCCAUGCCUGUCGCUCCCGGCCUCCUCUGCAAACGGUCACUUCCUCCUUAGAGCAAAUGGCAGAUGCAAUGGAGACAUUUCAAAACUAUUUCAAACUACAGAGCAGGUUAUGACAAGGCCCCUGGGAAAAUUCUUUCAAUGAGAGAACUGUUCUCAGGAUAUUUCUCGAUGCUGGGCACCUAGUAAGCGUGCUUUAAAGACGACAGGACAUGGAUUCUGCUCUAAGAAUUGAGACUGUUUCCACAAGGCAUCAACUGAACUACAGGGAGCAGUGCUGGGUCUCGCCGCAGAAAAUUGAGAGCGAAAGGAGAGAGAGACAAAGGCCCCAGAGCCAGGAGAGAGGAGUGGCACCUGAGCAGGGCUCGGGACAGCGUCUGUCUGGUUGCCGAGGCCGAGCUGCCCCAUCUUGUUCUCUCCAAACGCAAGCACGGAGCCCGUUUCUGGAAGGAAAAGACAGGAUCACAAAAGGGAAAAGAACACGGAGGGUGUGGAACUCGAUCUGGAUCAAAGGCUCCAAGAUAAUAAAAACAGCUCGUGUGCCAGGAAGAGCGCCAGUGAGACCGUACCGCAAACAGAGGUGGGACGGGCAGCUCAGGGCACGGGCCCUUCAGAGCCGAGGCUGAGGACGCAGGGAGGGUCUAGGGGCCCGGCCUCUGCCUCCCGACCACCUUCUGAUGCCAGCGGGUGGGGAGGCCAGCCGUGGCUCCGAGAAGCACCCACUGGGGUCUCUGGGUGCCCCUCUGAUCCUGACUCAGAGCCCCAGAGACGACUCCACCCCAAUGCCCAAGGUGGACCGUGCGGCCUCCUGCCCAACUCAGCAGAAGCCAGCCAUUCCUUACCUGUCAACGCCAGGGUGUGGUUCCGUCCACACGCCGCAGACACAAUCACUUCGUGGCUGAGACCCUCAAUGAGUUUGGGGGCUUCCACCCUCUUGGUAUCACCGUGUCCCAGCUGCCCCUUCUCAUUUCGACCUGCAGAUCAAGAGCAAAAUACAGUGGGAAGGGAGAGAGCAGCCAGGACAGCGUCCCGGGAAAAGCCAACACACCUGGGUCCCCCCAGAGGGUGCCCUCCACCCUUGACAGCCGAGAACGAGAGGCAAAAAGCCCUGCCCUGGCUCCCCUGUCAGUGGCCAACCUCUCGAGGUCGGCCUGAGUGGGGCCAGGUGACCAGGGGAGGAUAUACAGUGCCAUCCCCAGAGACGUGUCUGCGGGCCAUGGCCACCUACCUGCCUCACCUCUGACCUGCUUUUCUGGGACAGCGGCUGGGACCCACCCGGGAGCCCUUUCUGUAGCUCUGCUACCGGGGAGACAGAGCGCUCGGUUCGCCCCGGGUGUCCCGCACAAGCAGAUGAACUCAUGGAAACUCACAGUUCUCACUCCACCUGCCAGACAAUUCCCUCGCUCCCUUCUCUCCAAGAUGGAUUUUAAGAGGGGAACUAUUUUGGACACCUGCCUCACAGAGUUUAAUUACUUCAGUGCCCUGGGCAUCUUCCAUGGACCAUUUGGUUCAUUUCUGCCCGUCGUUUCUUUCCUUUCACCUGCCCUGGAAACGCUGCCUGCAGAGCAGCCAAGCCCACCUCCUGGGGGCAGCCCUCCACAAGACCCUCAGCUACGGGACCCCCAGGGGUGGACCACAAGCCCUUCCUGCCAACGGGGCCGCGCAGGCUGUGAGCUGGGGAGGCAGGAAGGCCCGAGGAGGCCGGCCUCUGCCAGAACCCUCCACAAGGCACAGGCCCUCUGGCUGCACAGCAGACAUGGGGAUCCCGGUGGGCCGGGAGGAGCCCCCACACUUCCCCUGCUUUCCAACUCCAGCUACCACAGUUCCCAAACCAAACAGCUCUGCAGCCUCACAGGUCCCCUGGCCAAGAGAAGAACCACAUGGUGGUAACCAAACAAAUCUGGGAGAUUUCAUGGGGCCAAAGAGUCAGGGCACUGAGGGGUCGGGGGUGAGCAGUUCACGCCCUCCCCUGACAACAAACUUCUGACCUUUCUUCAGGAGAAACACGGAGGACAGAGACACAAAGAGCAGGGCCAAGCAUCCCGAGACCUGAGGAAGGAAGGGAACUGCCAGCUGCGAGAACUGUCCUCCAGCCCACACGGAUUCCAGCCCUCUGGCAGGAGCGGCACACACCGGCUUCCGCCGGGAGCGAGCCGUCUGGGUUCACCGGCAAAAGCAGGCUGCACCGGGCGAGUGUUGGGCAUGGUCUCUCGGCCCCUCGAGAGGCCCGAGUGGCUCUAACAGGUGCAGACCCCUCAAGAGCAACGUGCACCGAUGCUCCUAGAUUCCAGACGACACCCCUUGCCAUUUCACGCAGCUAACUGUGGAAUGGUGAUGUCCCCAUGGGCAUGUCCCCCCCACCCCCCACCAUAGCACCAAGUCCACUCACAGGGACACGAGUCCUCACUCUGGGGCCAGGCAGGGCGCAUGGCCUCCAGCUCCCCUCUCUGCCCACAGUGUCCGCACAGGGCAUGUUUUCAGAAGCACCACGUAAGGGAAAUUCAGUAAAGAGAUCAGAAGGAAGAGAUGUCAAGUUCGGAGCUGUGACGCUGCCGUGUUCAGUGCUGGGACACCGCGGGGAGGGGUGCCCCGGGAGGAGCCCGGACCCCUGCACUGAUCGGGGGAAACGACAGCCGUGGCAAUGUCAGCGAGUCAUCAAGAGACGACAAAGUUUAAAUGUGGGCCAGACACACUUGUUAGCUCUUUUUUUUUUUUUUCCAACAGAAUUACAAAAUUAGCAGAGUGCAGCAAAGACAACAGAUGUUAAUAUAUUUGGACUUUGGUACAGCAGCUCAUGAAAUUGCAAAAAACGGUUCAAACAGACUGAAAUAAAAAAAGCAGUCAUAUGGGCUAAAAGCUAGCCAAAGGACCAGAAACAAAGGGCGGGGACGACUGCCAACAUACCCAGCUGGAGGAAGAGUCCAGGAGCUACGAGAGGGCGCGGGGCUAACCUGAGCCUCGGUCAGCACCUCGAUCAACAAUCUGGAAGAGGGAACGGGCAGCAGUGCGUGCAGCCCCGCGGAGGGGCCUCAGGCCAAGGCCACCACCGCCAGGGACCCGGGCGAGGGGCUCCAGCGGCAGGAAAGCAACUCAACUCAGAAAAAAGUAAACUCAGCUGUCGGGAAGUCUUAUCAUAGGCACCGAGCAACCGAACCUGCAGGCGGGCGGGAUCCCCGGAAACAGAGGGACAGGAGCACGGAGAUGCAGUGGCCGAUGCCAUGACGUGGCCGGCGGCAUUUACAGCGGCAAGAACACAGGUCUCACGUCAAUGCUGUGCCACAAAGCAAGGGGGGGUACUGUCUGCCCAGGGGACGGCGUGUCUAAAAUAGAAAUUCAAUUCUAGGCACCUCAAGAUCAGAAAGAUCCAGAUUCAGUCAGAACGUUCAGGGAAAGGUUGCUUAAAAGAGACACUUCAGGGGCGCCUGGGUGGCUCAGUCACUUUGGCUCAGGUCAUGAUCCCGGGAUCCUGGGAUGGAUCCCAGUGUGUGUGUGUGUGGGGGGGGGGGGGGUUG